GAUUCUGGCUCAGGAUGAACGCUAGCUACAGGCUUAACACAUGCAAGUCGAGGGGCAGCAUUGGAGUAGCAAUACUCAGAUGGCGACCGGCGCACGGGUGAGUAACACGUAUCCAACCUGCCGCUUACUCGGGGAUAGCCUUUCGAAAGAAAGAUUAAUACCCGAUGGUAUAAAGAGUUCGCAUGUUCUCUUUAUUAAAGAUUUCGGUAAGCGAUGGGGAUGCGUUCCAUUAGAUUGUUGGCGGGGUAACGGCCCACCAAGUCUACGAUGGAUAGGGGUUCUGAGAGGAAGGUCCCCCCACAUUGGAACUGAGACACGGUCCAAACUCCUACGGGAGGCAGCAGUGAGGAAUAUUGGUCAAUGGACGAGAGUCUGAACCAGCCAAGUAGCGUGAAGGAUGACUGCCCUAUGGGUUGUAAACUUCUUUUAUAUGGGAAUAAAGUGAGCCACGUGUGGCUUUUUGUAUGUACCAUACGAAUAAGGAUCGGCUAACUCCGUGCCAGCCGCAGC
rnacentral:rRNA from 1 species